rnacentral:rRNA from 1 species
AACGAACGCUGGCGGCAUGCCUAACACAUGCAAGUCGAACGAGACCUUCGGGUCUAGUGGCGCACGGGUGCGUAACGCGUGGGAACCUGCCCUUAGGUUCGGAAUAACUCCCCGAAAGGGGUGCUAAUACCGGAUAAUGUCUUCGGACCAAAGAUUUAUCGCCUUUGGAUGGGCCCGCGUUGGAUUAGAUAGUUGGUAGGGUAAAAGCCUACCAAGGCGACGAUCCAUAGCUGGUCUGAGAGGAUGAUCAGCCACACUGGGACUGAGACACGGCCCAGACUCCUACGGGAGGCAGCAGUGGGGAAUAUUGGAAAAUGGGCGAAAGCCUGAUACAGCAAUGCCGCGUGAGUGAUGAAGGCCUUAGGGUUGUAAAGCUCUUUUACCCGGGAUGAUAAUGGCAGUACCGGGAGAAUAAGCGCCGGCUAACUCCGUG